CUUGAGCGCUGCCGUGGAGUGGCCAGCUGCCUAGCUAAGGGUCAGAAGAGCAACCCAACACAGGGCCAAUCUGCAAAGCCAGGAAGGUGGGUUACAACAGGAGAAAAUCAGACGUCUUUGCAACGGAGGCUGAUGCAUUUUUAGAAGCCAGAAGAGAGAAGACUUACUAGAUGGUUUUCAGUUUUGGUCAUUGAUCCUGACAUAAUAGAAUGUGACCUACGUAGAGAAGACAAAACGCAGAAAUACAACACAACCAAAGAAUACAUGCUGGAAAAGGGAUCACUGAAGAAAAACGGAUAGGAAGUAUAUCUCAUAUUUUUGUGUGUGCAGGCAUACCUCGGAGAUGUUGUGGGUUUGGUACCUGACUGCUGCAAUAAAGCUAAUAUCACAAUAAA
rnacentral:lncRNA from 1 species